UCAAAAUCUCAUUUAUUCAUUUGCAAAAUGGAGAUAAUACAAUUCAGUGGAGUUAUGGAUAGGACUCAGUAAAGCAAUGAAAGCACUAAGCACAGCUUAAAAGCCCAGCGCUUAUUAGGCCCUCAAUGAACACAGCUAUUAUUUCUAUUAAAUUAUGUAGAGGUACUAUCGAGGACAGAUGUGGAAGAGAUAACAGGGAGACCAGCAUGGAGCACCCUAUGGCAACUGAGUAAGUCUGAAUUGUGGGUAGGUCUGGGAAGGAAGGAGGAUGUGGACUGAAGGUGGCCAGUCUGAGGAUGUUACUUGUGUAUUUUAAAGCCCUUGAGAGGGGAAUCCCUGGGUGGCUCAGUGGUUUAGCACCUGCCUUCGGCCCAGGGCGUGGUCCUGGGGUCCCAGGAUUGAGUUCCGCAUCUGGCUCCCUGCAUGGAGACUGUCUCUCUCUCUCUCAUUCUCUCUGCGUCUCUCAUGAAUCAAUAAAAAUCUUUAAAAUAAAUAAAUAAAGCCCUUGAGAGUCAUGAGAAAGCAUUAGGCUCCAACUUUACAGGCCAUAAGGACAAUUUGAGAAUCAGGAAGAGGAACUAGAAAACCAUCAAGUGACUUCACCAAACAAUGGGCCAGGUCUCAGGGUAAAGACAGAAGUCAGUUGUAAGUGAGCAUUACCCAGUACCACUAGGAAUAAUGAGAAUUCAUGCUACUGAGUGAGCAUGAAUCUAUUAAUAACUAACCAGGAACUUUCAGUGAUCGCAGGUCUGUAAACUCAGUGGGAACCAGAAGUGAGGCUGGAGCGCUCUGAUGACUCACGUGUCCCCAUCCAGGGAGCCAGAGCCCUGUGAGGAGCAGGAAGUGCGGCCUCCCUUCCCAGGUGGGAAGUGAGUCCUUACCUGGGUGGUUGGAGCCCUGGCCCCAGCACCUAGCACGGUGCAGGGCACAAACGAGGAAUUCAUACAUGUCUGUUGAACGUGUGGCACUUUAGGGGCAUAGGGAGGGCCGUGUACAGUCUCUGGUGGGUGAGGUUGAGCCUGGUUCUAAGGAGUGAAAAGACAGUGGAGGGCGGUGGUCUAGCCCGGGCUCACCAGGAAAUGCCUGUGAAGGGGCUUGGCACGGGGGAGCCUGAAGAAAUCCAACAGAGGGAACCACCGCGAGCAGAUCUCUGGAGCUCCUACAUAUUUGGCACAGUAACCAUUCGGACUGCUUCUGAGAUGUCACGCUCAGCUCCAGCACAGUUCUUCCUCCUACUCCAGAGGAUGAGUACUCAAGUUUCUGCCAAAUGGCAGGAUUCUGUUCUCAGGAGUCAUCUAAAGAAUCUUCAGCACUGGGACAUCUGGGUGGCUCAGCGGUUUAGCGCCUGCCUUUGGCCCAGGGCAUGAUCCCGGAGUCCCUGGGUCCGGUCCCACAUUGGGCUCCCUGUGUGGAGCCUGCUUCUCCCUCUACCUAUGUCUCUCUCUCUCUCAUGAAUAAAUAAAAUA